CGGCUCAUCACAUCCUGGGGCUGUAGUCGGUCCCAAGGGUAUGGCUGUUCGCCAUUUAAAGUGGUACGCGAGCUGGGUUCAGAACGUCGUGAGACAGUUCGGUCCCUAUCUGCCAUGGGCGUUGGAAGUUUGAGAGGGGCUGCUCCUAGUACGAGAGGACCGGAGUGGACGAACCUCUGGUGUUCCGGUUGUCACGCCAGUGGCAUUGCCGGGUAGCUAUGUUCGGAAGCGAUAACCGCUGAAAGCAUCUAAGCGGGAAGCGCGCCUCAAGAUGAGACUUCCCGGGGCACAAGCCCCCUAAAGGAACCA
rnacentral:rRNA from 1 species